rnacentral:rRNA from 1 species
UACGAAGGGUGCUAGCGUUGUUCGGAAUCACUGGGCGUAAAGCGCGCGUAGGCGGCUUUUCAAGUCAGGGGUGAAAUCCCACGGCUCAACCGUGGAACUGCCUUUGAAACUGUUAAGCUGGAGUGUCGGAGGGGAUGGCGGAAUUCCUAAUGUAGAGGUGAAAUUCGUAGAUAUUAGGAGGAACACCGGUGGCGAAGGCGGCCAUCUGGACGACAACUGACGCUGAGGCGCGAAAGCGUGGGGAUCAAACAGG